GUCGAAGAGCGGCACUUGCACGGUGCCCAGGCUGGCCGAGGUGCCAGAGCGCAGGCAACGCGAGUAGAAGCCCAACACUGGCAUGAGAGCUCCAUGAGGGAGGAGCCAUGUGCUUUCUACCGCAUCCCCACUGUCUGCUGCCUGUCACUGCCCAUGGGAUUGACGAGGGGAGGAAACAGCAUCACCUACCAACCCCUCAGCAUCCAUGAAGUUACAGGGUUUCCUCUGCGGCAGGAGGGAUGACGAUCAGACAAGAGGAAGGACAGUCCCUCUCCCCCCAGAGCGAGUCGGCGUAGGAGGAGAAGUCGGAGUUGGCGUCCUUCUCAGCCAGAUAGACCAGGAAGGAGGCGAAGAUGAGCACCAGAAACCCGAGGUACCAGGCGGUGAUCAGCUCCUGUGGGGUCAGCAAGGGAUGAGACCAUACACCUGGCACAGGUGGGGAGGUGGACGGCUCCCAGAAUGGCCUAUGGGAGGCGUUCUGAAAGGGGAUAAGAGUACCCACCUCUCGGAAGUCCCUGGAGGUGGCUCUGCCUGCCUUUCUUUCUCAGCAACUCCCUUCAAGGAGACCCUGCCCCGCCUUCAAGGAAGAGCGAGGCCCUCACAAAACCUCAGAGCAUGCCCCGGCCCUGCACUUGACCCUCCAGGUUCCACGCUCAGACCUCCGCCCACAAGCCCAUCUUGCACCGCCCCCCAAGCCCCACUUUCAGGCUUCCAUCCCGCCCCACACCCUGUCCCGCCCCAGCCCCACCCUCAGACCCCGCUCCAGCUCCCCACUUCCCUGUAAGCGUAGACCCCCAAACCCGGAAGCUCCCAAUUGAGACUCUCAAGCCCUGCCCUUCAGGCCCCGCCUCCUGGCCUGGUCCUGACCUCCCCUCCAGACCCCGCCCUUGCCCCGCCCCCCGAGGUAGCCCCUGUGGCCUCGACCGCGCUGGGUCCCUGGUCUCCCCUACCACGGCCCCGCCUCCGCUCGGCCCCGCCCCUCCAGCUGCCGCACCAGCUCCGCCCCGGACGCGCCCCCGGACACGCCCGGCCUCACCUUGCUGUGAGCGUAGACCACCGAGCCCAGCAGCUUCCAGGUGCCGCCGCGGCGGUCCAUGCGCACCAUGCGCAGGAUCUGCAGGAAGCGCAUGCUGCGCAACGCAGACGUGGCAAAGAUGUUGCCCUGCGUGCCGGCGGCGAUGACGGCCACCGAGGCCACGAACACGAUGAAGUCUGCAGGAGCGAAGAGCGGGCGAGGUCAUGGCCAGCGCCGGGGAGCCAACCUACCCUGUGCCUGGACCCGAGGUUGGGGGUUCCUGGGGCCGAGGGGAUGAUUGGGAAGGUCUGUUGAGUCUGUGUCAGCAGCCAGGGUCCUGGGGUCAGGGUGUUAACCCUGGGGCUUGGGGGUCAAGAGUCAGGCGGGGCUGGGUAGGCCCAUUACCGAUGACACAGAAGGGUUUUCUGGCAAAGCGGAAACGGCCCUGCCAUCCUCGGUAGCGGCAGCAGCAUCCCGCGGACCAGAUGCGGAUGAUGUACUCCAGACCAAACACCACGAUCAUCACGAAUUCCUGUGGGACCAGGGGCCUGAGUUCUGGUCCCCACUCUUCAGGACCGGGGUCUAGGUCACACGGCACCCACCCAGCCCGGAGUCCCUGGGUUAGGGGUACUAGGAUUUCCUCAGACCACCUCUCCUGGAGGUUCUUACACCUGGAUGGACCUGAGGAGGAUUCCAGAAGGAAGUGGCUUCUUCCAUGUCUUCCAAAGAGACUGAAAGCCCAAAUCUAUCCUCCCUUGCUGUCCCCAUGAGCUGUCUGGGUUUUUCUUCUCCUCAUCCCACCCUCCCCCUCCCAGCCAUCCCAGCCUCUGUAACCCUGACCAGGUGACAUAAGGGGUGGUUGGUUGUCUGUCACUGUGACCCUCCAAGGUGCUUCCUGUUAGGGGGAAAACCCCAAUCACACCAGGGGUGGUGUUAGCAGUUUUGAUCCUGAGAAGGAGUGGCUCUCCUCUGGGCCCAUCAUAAGCCCUGGCAUAGAGGCGGGAGCUCUCCCAACACCUGCUAUAAAGCAAGGGAUGAAGCCCAGAGAGGGGCAGCCACCAGGUCAGAGAACACAGCACAGCAAGCCACUCUCUGAGCCAUGGUAUGAGAAGCCUCACUCCACCUUCACCCUCAGACCAGAGGUGCCACCCCGACACAGCCUCCCUCAGACCCAGACUCCGGCACUCACCAAGAUAAGGAGACACUCGUUGGCAAUUUCCUGGUGCUCCUGGAUAGUGGACAGCACGGACAGCACCAGGCAGCUGAAGACCAGCAAAAAUCUGCAAUAGCAGCAUGAAGGAGAGGGUUAGACUGCUGGAUGGACAGGGCAGCCAAGGAGCCUCUGGCAGGGGGCUGCAGAGUCAGAGUCAGAGGAGGAGGAGGGAAGCUUCAUUUGGGAAGAAUAAUCUGGAAAGCAGACUAAGAAUCAGAGUUCCCUGGAGCUGUGGCUUGGUGCUGGACACCAAAGGGAGAAGCCCCCGAGCUCCAGGAGGCUGCUGAGCUCACAGACACCUUACAGCCCUCUCAGUUGCCCUUGAUGCAGCUGCCGCUCACAGAGGUGGUCACUGAGCUGUGGGUGGUAGGUCUGUCUGGGCUGGCCGAGGGAGGGACCCAGGAAUCCCCCCUUCCCUAUGAGUUCCAAGAUGGCAGAAGCAUGGUUUCACCAGCAGAAUGAGGACAAUUGCCUCUGCCUUCGUGGGUUCUUAUGGAAUUAAAUACUGAGACAGCUAGGGAAGGAAAGGGGAUUGAGGAAGACAGAUAGGGAGGGAACAUGCAGAGGGGGAGAGGGUGUGGGAGGGCAAUCAGGCAGCAGGGAGCCAUGCCAUCGAGGCCUGGAACUUCCCGGAGGGCAGUGGAAAGCUACUGAGUGGCUCAGAACCAGAUGGUUAGAAAUGGAAGGAACUUUAGAAUCCAACUCAUCUGACACUCCCCUCAACCCUAAUUGCACACAUGAGGAAACUGAAGCCCAGAGGAGGAAAGGGAUUCACCCAAGGUCACCCAGGAUGUCCAGGACAGGGGUGAGAUUAGAGCCAGGGUUUCCAACUCCCCAGUGGAUGGGAAGAGGGGAAAGGGCGUGAGGAGAGAAGCUGCUGGACUCAGGGAGAAUGUGAAUAUGUGAGGGAAGACAGGAUGUGGGGCACAGGCUGCAGAUGCGGCAAAAGGGAACGAUGCUGGCCUCCCGGAAGCACUCCUCCUUUUGAUGGGGGUGUUGCUCCUGGAAGAGACUCCAGAGGGCAUGGGCUUCUCCGGAAACGCACAGACCUACAGCCUCUCCAAAGUGUUCCCAGAGUGUCCCCACCUGGGACUGCUGACACUGCAUUCUGCCUGAAACGACUCACCACUGGAGCCUGAUGAGAUGCUGUUCACGGUGCCCUCACCCCAGCGCUCCUGCUGGGAUGCCCCGAUCCCACUGUUCCCUCAGAACGCCCCUCCCAGUGCUCGCCUCCCAAGUCACUGUCUAUGGCGCUUUAUUUGUGUUCAUAUUUCAUCACGGCAGGGGCAUGGGCUCCAAGUCAGAGAGACCCGGGUUCAAAUUCCGGCCCUGCUGUGUGUGUGACCCUGGAAAAGUCACCUACCUUCUCUGAGCCAGUCUCGGCAUCCGUAAAGUGGGGGCUGACGGGGGGAUGGGGUGGGACAUGGGAAGGGCGUGGCUCCACCCUGGCCCACUUACACCUCCCUGGACAGGGCUCCCAGCCUGCGUGGAGGGCAGGUAUAGGGCUGCAGCCCAGCACAUGCCCCGGGGGGGGAGGAUGUAGGUGGUAGAUGUCAGUAAAAGGUUUUGGUUGAAUGAGUGAGGAAGAGGAGGCCUCCUUUGCCAGUUCCAGGCAGGAGCUGAGUCAGCAAAGACGUAAGGCACAGGGAGAGGUUGGGGAGAACACCAGCUCCUCGUGUUCAAUAAUUAACCACAGCAAACGCAGCGAACCCAGUGCUGCAUCCACCGGGAAUGGGGGCCACCACCGACACAGGGCUCAGGGGCGGAAGGGUACUCCUGAGGUUAUUCCAUCCAGCCCCCUCCUCUGGGAGGCCUGCAGCCAAAUUUUGAUGGGCCUUCACCCCAGCCCUGGACAGAAAUCCUUUAAUCCCACUGCUCAGCUGACCUCAGAACCUCAGGCAAAUGAGUCACGUUUGGGGCUUCCUGCUGAGUGUUUCAAGAUUUUUUUUUUCUCACCACUAUUCUUUCCAUGUCGAUAGGUACACAUCUCUAAAAUGUCCACUUCACAAUAGGUUACGUGAAAAAAGCAGAUUAUGAAACCUUAAAGCAAUGUGAUUCCAACUUUUAAAAUAUAGAUAUUUUGUGUACACAUACCAAGAGUCAGCAGGGCUGAUCUCUGGGUGGCAAAAUUAAGAAUGAUUUGGCAUUUGUUUUGCUUUUUGCUUAUCUUCAUUUCUUAGUUUUUUGGGUUUUUUUGCGGUACGCGGGCCUCUCAC